CUCUCGUUAUUUUUGUUUAAGUGUUCAGUUCAAUAAAAGUCAUGAACACUCACCACGCUGUGCUUUGGUCCGAUCCCUCCUCAUCCAACGACGACACCCGUUAAACCAAAUCCAAGCAGUGGUUGUGUGGUUCAAGAGAUCCUCGAUGUCCAAAGCAGCAGCUCCUUGGUCUUCUGCAACACUCACUCAUCAUUGAUGUCAAGGCCAGAUGGAACUCGCUCUAAUGAUAGAGAGAUUCAUGGAGCAGUAUCCAGCGACCCAAACCUUGGACCACGACUGUGAAAAGCAAUGACCAAGGACAACCUGGACCGUCUGAAGGACGAGGACUUCCAUAAGGCUGAGGAGUUUGUCCAGCUCAUGAAAAUCCUCUAUACAUCCACACUGUGUUUCAUGUGAAAAGAAUGCCACCUAUGGGCAGGUCAUACCCAUCCUCCAAAAACUGAGAGAGCACUUCACUGUGAAUCAUGAAGAUACAACGUUUGUGGCAACCAUCAAAGAGAAGGUGUGGGAGAACCCCCUCCGAGCACUAUCAGGAUGUGGACAUUCAAGCCUUCCUGCAUGAGGUCACAGCAAUGGACCCCAGGUUUAAAGGGAGGCCGGUGAGUGAAGCCACCUGGGUCAGGCUGAGGAAGGCAACUGUUGAGGCCGAUGUAAAAGGAGCAAUACCAGGGCUGUCAGAGGAGCCGGCGCAGACGGCCACACCCUCAGCAAGCGUGUUGACCUAGAGGUUGAGCUCUACGAAGGCCUGCCUCCCAUCGCCAUGGCUGAAGAUCCUGUAAUGUGGUGGUGGGAGAAGAGAGCUACUCUGCCUCUCACAAACAUUGCAACAAGCUACCUCUGCUCAAGCCUCCUCCACCCCUAGCGAGAGGGUAUUUUCGGAUGCAGGGAACACAAUAAGCCAGGAGAGGUCCCAACUUCUGCCAGAGAAGGCAAAUAUGUUGAUCUUUCUCCAGAAGAACUGCUAAGAACUGUUAGUCCUUUUGCAGCCUACCUGCAUGCCCCACCCGUGUUGCAAACCACUGUAUUUUCUUUUGCAGGAAAAUAAUGUUUAUUUAGUUUGCUUUACAUUUCCAUCAUCACAACAUUCAAGUCUAUAAUGGUGAUUUGUUCAAAACGUUGCUGUUUCCUUUGCUGUAAAUAAUUGUUUUAUUUUACAUUUCAGAAAAUAAAUGGUAAUUCUGU